rnacentral:lncRNA from 1 species
ACCUAGGUGACUUAGCCGGCCAACGCGCGCUCCCUGGCUUCUCGGCGCCAGAGUUUAGAGGUCUCCUUGUUGCUUUUGGGAGCGGAGACGUUGCUUUCUAGUCUUUUGAAGGGCCAGGGGUUGGGGAGGCAAGGCCAUUCAUGAAGUAUCUUGGAGAGCCGCUAGCAGGUGGAGGUUCCUGAGGAUUUUAUGCAAUUGAGGAUCUAUGAGGGUGUGGAGGAAAGUACCUUUAGGACGGAAGCGGUGAUCAAACCGAUAAGAGCUUUAUUGUUAAGCUUUUGGGGAUAUAUAGGCACCCUCUAGCCGGUGUACUUAUUCUCUUUAGAACCAGCUUUCCUGCUCUUGAUUUCACCAGAAGUGGAUGGAGUUUUUAUCAGCUUUUGUGAAACAUGGAAAAUACUGUAGUGUGGGGUAGCUCAACACCUUUCUUUGUUUCUUAUUGUGGAGGUGGCAGAUGAAUGAGAAGGUAGCUGGUGGUCAUUGAUUACAUAUGGACCACAUACAUGUGCUAAUGGGUGCUUACUCUGCUCAGCCUCUGGGCUACUUUAUGGUUUUUGACAAUGACAAUCUAAUUCCAGACUCAUGGCCUUUGUACUUGGCUAUUCUUUAUGCAAGGAGUCCUGGUUUGUUUUGUUUUAUUUUUUCCAAUUCUGGAGCCAUGUUUCAUCUCAGAAAGUACCUAAUUGCUUUAACUAAAAUGAAAUUGAAAAUUACAUUGCAUGGGAGUUCCCAUCCUGGCUCAGGGGAAACGAAUCUGACUAGCUUCCAUGAGGACACAGGUUCAAUCCCUGGCCUUGCUCAGUGGGUUAAGGAUCCAGCGUUGCUGUGAGCUGUGGCAUAGGCCAGCAGCUACAGCUCCUAUUCAACCCCUAGCAUGGGAAGCUCUGUAUGCUAUGGUUGUGGCCCUAAAAGGACAAAAGAAAAGAAAGAAAAUUAUAUUUCAGAAAUAAUUAUAUUUUGCAUUUAACAGUGUAUGUUGAGAUUGUAUGUCUAACACCUAGAAUGAACACUUAUUUUUGUGUUGACUUUUUCAGUAGUGUUUCCCCCCGCAAAAAGUGUGUAAUUGGACAACACCUCAAGGCAGGAUAAUAGCUCAGGUAGAGUAGGAGCAUGGGCUUCAGAUGCAUUCUUUGAUACGGCCAUUGAUGAAUAUUUGUGGCUUAAGGGCUCCAGGAAGUAUCAUCCCCACAGGCCUUGUUUACUAUAGGGAGUGUAUCUAUGCCCUGAUGGACAAUAAUCACUAACCCACUCAAUAAAUAGAAACAGAAUGAGCGGAAUGGCAACUCUCAGUCUAAGGAAAAGAGCAAAGAAACCAUAAAACUUAUGGGGCAUUUCCACCUCUAAGAUCACCUUUUGGGCAAGGACCAAUAUAGGUAACUGCACAAGGCCAAUGGGAGAAAACCACAUCUUUCUGGACCCCACGUUGGUAACCCCCAUCUUUAAGGGAUAAAAACCCCUACUGGACAAUAGAGAGGGGGGACUCUUCUUCCCUCUUCUAGUCUGUCCUGGGAGCUGUUUGCUUUCCUGAAAUAAAGCCUUUGCUUGCUUGCUGCCUGUGUGUUUGCAAAGUUCAUUCUUUGACUCCAUGAACAAGAACCUGGAUUCUAACUUUCCGGCAUCAAUCCUUCAUUUGAAAUUUUUACAGCACAAUCAUAGAGGGUUAUUUUUGCACAAAUAUUGGAGUGGGGUCAUUCAUUUUUCCAAGGACUGUUCUUAACCUAGACCAUGACACCAUCAUCUCUUACGUGCUCUUCUUUAGUUGUCUUCCAUCUGAAAUUUCAUCUUCCACUUUUACCAGCCAUAAGCAGUUUUUCACACUGCAGUAGGAGUGAUCUUAAAAUGGGAAUUGUCUUGUUCACUUGCCUGAAACCUUUGAGACACUAAAAUUUAGUGCUUUCCUAUUGCCCUGAAGAUCCAGUUACUUGUCAUGAUCUAGGGGCCCAAGAUGACCCGUGCAUUUGAUCACCUCUCUAACUAAUCCUGCCAUAAUUUUGCUCUAGCAACAUUGUUCUUUUAGUCUAGGGGACCCACCAAAAUUUUGCUCUAGCAACAUUGUUCUUUUAGUCUAGGGGACCCAAAUUCUUCAUGCCUGCAGGACUCUGCUCGUGCUUUUCCUUCUACCUGGGACACUAUUUCCCUGACUUCUUGCACAUCCAGCCUCUUUCAUCUUUUAGAUCUCAGCUUAAGUGUCACCACUUCUGAAUUCCUUUUGCUGGCCAGUUAUCUCCAUGAUUAUUUUCUUCAUAGUAUGUAUCACAGUGUGAAAAUAGUUGAUCUCAUUCGUUUUUGUCUCUCUCCAGAAAAUAAUCAGAAGAUCAGAAUCUUAACUUUCUUGUUCACUUUUAUAUCUUUAAGGUCUAUCACAAUCCUUGGCAGGUAGUAGGUACUUAGAUGUUUGUUGGGAGGGAGGGAGGAAGUGGGGGAGGGAGAGAGAGGGAAUCUUUCCGAAAGUUCCCUAAAAAUCUCCCCAGUCACCGAAGGAAGAGAGGAACUAACAAUAUUGGGGCCUCUUGAGCACCAGACACUGCUUGGCUCUCUCUUCCUCUUCAUCUCUCAAUCUAGAUUGUUCCUUCCUGAGAUUUUAAUGCAAUGGUUUCCAAAUGAACCACCUCUAGCCUCUCCCACACCAUUUCAUGUUAUGUUUAGUGGCUUAUUUAAUCCAAUCUGCCUCUUUCCUGCUCACUCCUUCAGUUUCUCCCCAUUACCUGGCCUCCUUGGUCUGGCAUUGAAGGCUUCCCUGAUAUAUUUUCUUAGAUUUAGCUCCACGAAUUUCUAAUUUCCUAACAGACCCCUGUUUUCCUUCCUUGUUCUCCUACUGGAAAUUUUCCCCACAUCUUAAAAUCUAAUCAUCCUUCAAGGUGAGGUAUGUUCCUAUCUAAUGAAAAUGAUGGAUAACAAAUGUGAAAUGACUUUGAAAAUGGAAUAUAUAUAUAUUCCAUAUUUAGUAGCAAGAUGGGCUGAAGGACAACAUUUCCCCUCUUCCCCUAAACUUCUUUCAUGUAAAUAACUGCAUGUUAGUUACCUGCCACAGGUGGCCGUUGCAGAGUUGAAAUGUGGCUUAAGUCUGAACUGAGAUAUGCUGUAUGUGCAAAUGCACACUAGAUUAGGGAUUUAGAAUGAAAUAAUGUCAAAUAUCUCAAUUUUCAUAUUGAUUGCAUGUUGAAAUGAUAAUAUUUUGGAUAUUGG